AAAAAAAGACACCCUGAUUUCCGUGUCCAAUAUUUGACCGUCCGUCUUAUUUAAAAAAAUUAUAAAAAAAAUUAAAAAGAUAAGUCACGCAUAAAAUAUUAAUCAUGUUUUAUCAUCUAACAACAAUAAAAAUACGAAUUAUAAAAAAAUUUCAUAUAAGACGAACAGUCAAAAUUGUACACGGAAACCUAUGGUUUGACUUUUU
rfam:Oryza nivara chromosome 1, whole genome shotgun sequence.